ensembl:lncRNA
GGGCGAAUCAGGUGGGCCAGUGGCGCGUCCUAGGAGCCGGUCUGACUCUUCAGGGCGGCUACCCGGGAACGCUCCCGUGAGGCAAGCUCCACAAAAGCCAGAACGUGCUGGCACCCUAAAGAGUGCUGGUUACCUAGUUGGUGCUCAAGAAAGUUUUCCUAAUUGAAUGAAGAGAGCCUCAGCGUUAUAACUUCACCUGAUGUCCAUCAAUACCUGUAUCCAGCCUGCGCAAUCUGUACUGUGUACUGAAAUUCCGUGUGGGCCCCAGUCAACAUCCUGUGUGGUAAACUCUGUCCAGACGGGAUCAGCGCCCCUUGGGCAGGUGCCUCUGUCCAGCACUGCUCAGCACCCUCUGGGGGAACAGCUCCUCCAGCUCUGAUCAGCACUCGGCGGGGAAACAGCUCCUGCAGCCCCAGUCCUCACGUUUUAGGGAGACAUCUCCGUGGGCCAAUCAGCACCCCUCGUGGGACAGCUCCGACCAGCCCUGGUCAGCACCCAGACGUGGACAGCUCCUCCAGCCCCGUUCGCGCACAGCCCACACUCUGUCUGAACCACUCGGAUCCCGGCUUGGGAACCCCAGGCUUCUGCUCUGAUUCCCUGGAAGUCGGCGCAGCUCCCGGGGCCGCACCCACCCCUC